rnacentral:rRNA from 1 species
GAUGAACGCUGGCGGCGUGCCUAAUACAUGCAAGUCGAGCGAACAGAUAAGGAGCUUGCUCCUUUGACGUUAGCGGCGGACGGGUGAGUAACACGUGGGUAACCUACCUAUAAGACUGGGAUAACUUCGGGAAACCGGAGCUAAUACCGGAUAACAUUUGGAACCGCAUGGUUCUAAAGUGAAAGAUGGUUUUGCUAUCACUUAUAGAUGGACCCGCGCCGUAUUAGCUAGUUGGUAAGGUAACGGCUUACCAAGGCGACGAUACGUAGCCGACCUGAGAGGGUGAUCGGCCACACUGGAACUGAAACACGGUCCAGACUCCUACGGGAGGCAGCAGUAGGGAAUCUUCCGCAAUGGGCGAAAGCCUGACGGAGCAACGCCGCGUGAGUGAUGAAGGGUUUCGGCUCGUAAAACUCUGUUAUUAGGGAAGAACAAAUGUGUAAGUAACUGUGCACGUCUUGACGGUACCUAAUCAGAAAGCCACGGCUAACUACGUG